rnacentral:lncRNA from 1 species
AUUCUGCGGCAAGGAUGUUUGAGUUUUUUCUCCCAGUCCCUCUGUUCAAAUUGCUUCAUGUUUUGCUGUUGCAACUACGAGGGGCUCAGACUUAAACCAGCAACAUUUGAUUCUAUAGCCAGCGCUCAUGAUGGCAGUGCCAAGCUCUUAUUGUUUUGUUCUGCUCUCAGAGGUACUUUACCAAAGGGUUUUCAAAGCACUGCCUGAAAGUGAGAUCCUGUUGCUCUGCUCUGUCCCAGGUGCUGAAAUUUCAUGGCCCGUGACUGGGAGGGGUGAGCUCAGAGGCUGGGAGACCAGGAAAGGCACCAUGACGUCGGCUUAUGGGGUGUGAACAAGACCAGGAUUUGGGCUGUGCUGAUGGGGAGGAAGGGUUGAAUCCUGGAUAUAUCCCUUCUCCCUUCUCACCAGAAACCUCCUCUUUCUAUUCAGGAGCUUGGUGCUCCCCUUCCCCCAUUCCCUUCCCAAUUAAAUGGAGGUGGCUCAGGCUUCAUGUGUAUUUCAGUCACAGGUAUAUUAAUUUCACUGAGUUCUUAGGCCAUGAUGGCUCUAUGAAUCCUGCCUCUCCUGAGCUAAUGGGAUGGCAUAAAUAACUCCAGGGGAAGCAUUUGGCCCGGCAGCUCCCAAGUCAGGCUGGAGUUCAUCAAUCCUCUGCCGAUUGGUAGCUGAAGGUUCCGACGCUGGGUCAGAGGUCGCGCCUGUCGAGGGCCAGUUCCGUUCUAACAGAUGCCACUCCAGAGAAUCUGGGCCCCCUCUGGUCAGAGGAAGGCAGCACUGGGAAAUUAGGAAUCCAGCCUCUGAUGUCUUCCUUGGCCCAGAGACAGACAGACAUUCAGCCAGCUCACGGAAUGGGUGCGGACAGCAUCUGGCUCACCCUCCCAAGCUCUUGCCAGUCCGCUGGGAGAGUCCAGCUCAUCCUCCCAUGGCCGGGAGGAGGGGUCUUGUCAGAGAAGCACCACAGCUGCCUGUUGGUCUGCUGUCUGCCCCAGCCCACAGCUUACCUCUCCAGCUGUAUGAGAGUCUUCACCUCUCCUGGGACACAGGAUGGCAGCAGGUUUAAGAACGCCCCUGCAGCCAGAUCUUGGCUCCAUCUCUUACCUUGGAGACUUUGAGCAAGUGACUGAAUGCCUCUGAUUCUCUGUUUCCUCCUUUGUAAGAUCAGUGGGGAAUGAUAAGGGCCAUGAUGUAGCCUGACCCUAUACAACCACAGGGCUUCCUGUAAGGACAUCAUGAGCGACCGAAUGUAAAGUCUUAGACCAGGGCCUGGCGCAUCAGAAGUGCUCACCAUCAGCCUCUGUCCUUGGGGACCUCCUCUGUCCUGGUUUGUUGGGAUGCAUCCUCUGCAGCCUGUAGAUGCCCUGGUCUUCCAUCCAGCAUCCUAGGGGAAGGGCAGAAUCAAGAAUCAGGGCCCUCACUCCUGGGGCUCUGAGGCUCCUUCCAGCCCAAUUGGGAAUUUUCCAGGUCUCAGCACAAUCAGAGGGGUCAACCUUCAGCUCCUCCGUUGCUCUCCAUUGGUGGCCGUUGCCAUCCUGCAUUGCUGCAGGCAGUGGAUCGGAUCUUCUGGGCUGGAUCACUGCUCAAGCUGCCUGCUAAGCUGCUUGCUUGGGGGGGACUCUGAGGAGUGGAGAGGGAGUUCAAGUUCCGAGGAGUGUCUGGUGCCCCCUUCCUGGUGCAUAAGACUUUACAGUCUACUAAGUCCUUUUAUCCCUUUUUUGAGAGUCUCAGGGAGACUGGCAGGUUAGGAAUGCUCCCCAUUUCAUAGAUGGAGGUGUUGAGGCUUGCAGAGGGAUGCAGGUUGCCCGAGGGCACACAAUGAGGGCAGCAGAAUCACUUUGCAGUCAUCCACUUAUGCAGCCUCCCCAGUCCUAGAACGAUGUGGUCCCCAGUCUUGCCUCUUAGCCUGCCAGCUUCUCCUAAUGAAGGCUGAGCUCAGGCUGCCCCCUGGAGACAGGCACCCUGAGACCGUAACCCGCCCCCCUCCACAGGGCCCCUCCCUCCAGCAACUCCAAACAGGAGCAGGAAGUCUGAUUGCCCAAGGCCCUGUCACAUAUUUAUUUUCAGAAGUCACUGGGAUAAACCCAUCUCCCAGAGAUGGAGGUUUAAUUCAUUAAGCUUAGAUGAUUAAUUACAGGGCAAUUAAAUAUUUGAUUAAAUUAAUCCUAAGGUGUUUAAACAUUGUUUUGCAAAGAAUGUUUGCUCAUUAAUUAGAAUAGCUAAAUGCACGCAUUAAGCAGGGGAGGGGGUUGCAGGAGAGGCAAGGAAGCCUUGAGCUUGUCCCCCUGAGGCUCUUCCCCGCAGAGGCUGGAGUUGUCUCUGCCCAGAAGAGCUGUAUGUGCCUGAAAUCUUCCCGUGGAUUCACAAGGAGGUGGCCCUUGGCGCCUCUGUGCUCUCAUUUGCAGAUGUGUCUGGGGAGGGUCAGGAAACACGAGGUGGGGCCCCCGACUCUGUCACUGAAAAACCAAGUGUCCUCAGGGCCUCAGUCUUUCCCUCUGCACAGUGGUGAGGAUGUCUGCUCCCCAGGGUCUUCUGGGUCUACUCCUAAGGGGUUUCACCCAACUGGAUCUCCAUGUCCAUGUCUAGUCAAAGAGAAUCUCUUCUUUGCGACUGCUCCCCAUCCCUGCAGGCUCGCAGCAUCUCCUGUGAGGCCUCUCCCUCCACUGGAUGCCCAGUUCGGGCCAGUUAGUAGCCAUGAUGUCAAAUAAAAACAAAGCUGGGCUUCCAGAGGGGAGACUUUAUUACCAAGAAAGACUACUGCAUUUGAAAAGGCUCUGGGCUCAGAAAUCUGCAAGCAUCUCAAAAAUCACAGAGCAAAAGGCUUUUUCUUUCAUAGGAUGUAUGGGGAGCCAGCCAAGAUAAGCAGACUCUUUCAAGGGGAAGCUGGACAAACGAGGGGAAAUGACCAGUGAGGUGUGACAGGAAAGAGUCCCCUGUGGUCAUGGAUUCUCAAGGAGAAACAGAUAAGGUGGCGGAGUUUGGGUGGCCUCAGGGGAGGAAACAUUCCAUUUCUUCUGGGUGCUUGCUCAGGCUUGGGACCAAGCAGAGGUCAGGGAAAGAAAGAAGUCUGCCUGAAGUGUGGCCAGGACAAAGCAGAGGGUAGGCAAUGGCAGCUGGGGACACUGGGUCAAGGUCAAAGCCAGUUUCAUUGGGUGGUGGGAUGGGAGCCAGACCAGUGUGGGUGAGAGGGAGGCACGGAAGUGAGAACAGUGAGUGGGGACCAUUCUUCUAAGCUUUGUUGUGGGAGGGUGGGCAGGGCAGAGAGAUAGGGUGGAGCUAGAAGGGCCAAAGAAUGAUGGUGGGUUUUUAGAGGAGGAAUCAUGGAGCACAUGUUAAUGCUGUUGUGGCGACUGGUGGUGGAGGAGGGCAGUGGUGUGCCAUCUGCUCCUGCUGGCUGCUAUCUCUGCUUGUUCCUUUCUAUCUACUGUAACCAUCCCCAGGUGUACUUCCUCUGCCCUUAGGGUCCUGGGGCUCCUCAUUGCCCUGGACAGCACCCACCCCAGGAUGGGCAACCACCUGCAGGACUCCCUGGGGCAGGUACCUCAGAGCCCUUGACCUGCCGAACCUGCCAGGGGAACUGCAGGCACAAAUGGUCCAGCCACUGUGGGGCGCCACUGGUCCUGAUCCUGCCAAUAGCUAGCAGUGUGACCUUUAGCUGUUGCUUCUCCACUCUGGCAGGGUGUGAACUAGGCCCAUUCAGGGCCCAACUCUUGCUGCUUUAACCCCCCACUCCAUGUGACUCUCGAUGUCCACAGCCCUCUGGCCUUCUUCUGUGCUGUUGUUGACACUUUUUCCUUAAUUUCCCCACUGCUCCAUCCUUCCCCUCCCUCCUAGUCCAGCUUAGGUUCACUGCCCCCUAAAGCCUCCCUUGACAGCCUAUGGUGGCCAUGCCUGCACCUUCCCUUGGCUCAGAAUAGCUCCCUCUCCAGCCCCCCUUCCCUGGUCAGCCACCCUGAGCCCCAGUCUUGUUCCAAGAGGAUCUGGAGCAGGGGCUGCACCCAGAGUCUCUCCCUUUGGCUCCGCAGGAACUGGGACCCACACACAAACGAAGUUCCGGGAACUCCUGGCUUCCCCUGAGCAUCCCAGGGGCAGGGCCAACACACUUUCCACCUGCAGAACCAAUGCCUUUUCCAAUGAGAGGGCCUGGGCCACCCUCCCCUUUCCUCCUACACCCACCCGCUGCUCAGCUCAGCAUUUGCAUCACCAAGAGGGUAGGAACAGUCAAUUCCAUAGGUGAGAAAUAAAACAGUGGAGGGGGCAGCUAAGCUUUCCUUGCCACCCCCCCCCAAGUCUGAGACGGGAGACAGCCUCUGCAAAUUCCCCAGGCCUGGAAGCUUCGAGUUACUUAAAACAAAUGCACACUUAACUGUCUCAGUUUUGGAUGUUUGAAUUCUCUAUUUCAAGCUUGAGAGGAGAGGAGAUUGCCUUGCAGGGAGACAGUGUGAUGUGGUAAAGGAAACACUAGGUGAUGGGCAAUCACGGUGGGGUUUCCUUUGGAAUUUGUGCCCUGCCAUUUCCCAGCUGCGUGAGUAUGAGGCAGUGCCUUCUUCUUCUCUGUGCUUCAGUUUCCAUCUGUAAAAUGGGGAUAUUAGCUGUAACCUCCGCCUGCCUGCCUCAUAGGUUUGACGUUAAAGUCAAGUGAGGGGUCCGUGGGACCGUCCUGGAAACAGGUGGCUCAUGGGUGGUUUGGAGUAAGAGGUUCUUUAGCUGCCCGGGGCUGCACUGUGUUUGCCCAGGAGGUGUGGGUGCUGUGCAGGGCUCCUCUUUCAGCCCAGAUCCCAGUGAAGCUGUAACUGUUCUGGCUAAUUGGAGCAGAACAAAAGUCUCCCCCAGCGCAGCAGAAAGAAGCAACCAGAGAGAGUGCAGUGGGGGCAGACUGCUGCAUGGGGAAGGCUGGCGGUGGGUGGGGGUGUCUGGGGAGCAGACCAGGAGUCUGGAAGGGACUGGAGUGCAGGCUCUGGGGGCACUACCACGUCACCCGAGGGAGGGAGGCUGGAGAUGGACGUUGGCUCUCAGUGAGAGGUCGCCAUCAGUUUCAGUGACUCCUCUGGUCUUUACAAGUUUUUAAAAUUGAAGAAUCACUCUUGGAGAUGCUUGGUACUGCGUCUUUCGUGACUGCCAAUUGAAACCCAGGUGCCCGGAAAGGCAGAAAGAAUUCUAUCUGAAAACAUCUUUUAUGCGCCUGUGCUUGCUAGUCAUUACACAGCUAGAAGCUAUGCUCAAGCCUUCGUAAACGAAAACAUACCUUCCUAAAAUGAUGACUUGAUCAAAUAACAUGGGGCUGGAAGUUGAAAGGCCUGGGUUGAAAAUCUAGCUCUGUCACUAGGGGCAAAUUUCAUUAUUAAUUCAACAUGAAGACCAAAAUGAAAGGCAUAAAAUCAUCUUACUAGUCACUCUCCAAAUAAUUUAGCAUUCAGACAUUUUUAAAAUUAUAAUUUAAGAGUUAACGGAUUCUUCAAUAGAAUGAAGCAUACCUAUUUUAUUUUAUUUUGUUUUUUUAUUAACAAAAAACUUUUUGACCUCACCCAUGGCCUGCAGAAGUUUCGGGGCCGGGAACUGAACCUGAGCCACAGCAGUGACAAUGCCGAAUCCUUAACUCCUAGGCCACCAGGGAACUCCAAGCAUACCUAUUUAAACCAAAAAUCAGCACUGAUAAGCUAAGUUCAAAUCUAGGAACAAAAAUGAACUCCUGUUAACAUCACACUGAUAAUUAAUGAACCAGUUAACGGACAUCCUAUCAAGUUCCUCAAAAGAUUUAAGGGAGUUUCACUUGAACUUGAGGAUGAACAACUUUGAACAGCCUCAUCAAUUCAGAAAGGCAAGAUAAAAUAAGCUGGGGGCAGGGAUGGGCAGCAUGAGAACAUUUGCAUGGAUAGUGGAUACAAAAGGAUCAGUAAAAAUUUAUGAAUUAAGUUUAAGGAGGAAGAUGAAUGCAAGCUACAAGCAUAAGAAUUGAUGGUUUUCCUGAAUGCUAGCAAUAGCUAGAAAAUAUAAUGAAAACAUCCAUUUAUAAUAGAAACAAGUGCUCUAACAUACUUAGGAAUAAACAUAAUAUAUGCCUGACCUUUAUAAAGAAAAUUGCAAACUUGAUGGGGUGGGGGCAGGGUGAGAGGCAGCAUAUAUUUCAAGAUGAUCACAUUGGCUCUGGUGAAAAUGUCUCAGUGCUUUAGGUUAAUUUACAAACAUAACCUACCUUCUUCAGUCAAUCCCAACAGUAUUUUUCUGAACUCAACAGAGCCUGGAAAAAGGAACAGAGGAGGGUUUCAAAGGACAUU